rnacentral:piRNA from 2 species
UGACAGAUGUGAAGAACAGGUUAGGAGAUGU